UAGCCGUAAACGAUACUCGCUAGGUGUCGGCCACGGUGCGACCGUUGUCGGUGCCGUAGGGAAGCCGUGAAGCGAGCCACCUGGGAAGUACGGCCGCAAGGCUGAAACUUAAAGGAAUUGGCGGGGGAGGCACCACAACGGGUGGAGCUUGCGGUUUAAUUGGAUUCAACGCCGGAAAUCUUACCGGGACCGACAGCAACAUGAAGGCCAGGCUGAAGACUUUGCCGGAUUAGCUGAGAGGUGGUGCAUGGCGUAGUCGUGU
rnacentral:rRNA from 1 species